AAGCUUUGCUUUAAAGAAGGCUGGACACAUUUGCACCACACACUUACAUGACACACUGAUACUCACUCACAUUUACAUCACACUUAAACUAAGACACACUCAUUCACACCCUCUUUUAAAGACAACACUGACAUACUGACAUAUUGACUAGGAGAACAGCUGAAGCCAGAAGUCAAACGUCAUUUCCUGUUUCUUCCUGCAUCACUUUGGAAAAUCUCAGAAGACAACAUGGCCUGAGGCUGCUCACAUGCUUUCAUAAGCUUGCUACAAUACUAUCGAUCCAAUUCCAGAUAUUUUCAUCUACGCUAAACUGAACUUUAUACUAUUUUUCAUUGUGUUUGUGAUGCCACCUGUGUGACAAUGAACUCACACGUUAUUUUCAAAUCAACCUGACUAUGAAUGAUCUUCAUUCAGAUACGCCCUUGAAGCUAUAAGAAUAUUAGUUAUUAAUUUUACAUUCUUACAGUGGCGAGCCAAAGAAAGUACUGUCUUAUCUCUAUUUUUACGGAAAUCUCGACCCUUGAUGAGGGGGGGAGAGAUUGGCGCAGUCUUUGCGAAUAUUCAAGUCUCGAGAAAAAAGACGGUUCAGAACCUAUCAAGCAAGAGGCGUUUGUGCCGCGUCAGAUGUGGACAACAGUCCAGUAACAGACGGUUGAUGACGAGAAAUCCUUCUAAUAACGAUAUGGCAUCUAAAAUCAAACAAAUAUGGAGGAUAACAGGCUUCUAUAAAGAGCAAAGAGAAAUUCAAAGUUAAAGAAGAGAUCCUUUUUGGAAGAAUAUUUGACAAAAGAUUUAUAUUUCAUAUUUAUGAACUAUUUUAUCUUAUUCAUCAAGGUUUUUCUAACGGAACUUGAAGAAGACAUUUUAAAGACAUUUCAUGAAGAAACAUUAAUCGGAAGGAACAUUAUCUAUCUACUAUAGAUAAACAAUUUAGGACUGAAACAUUUGUCCACAUAUACAUAUACAUUUUUUGAUUAUCCAAUUAUUAUGAUAUUAAUGUUCACAUGAAGUUA